AUUGAACGCUGGCGGCAUGCCCUACACAUGCAAGUCGAACGGUAACAGGUCUUCGGAUGCUGACGAGUGGCGAACGGGUGAGUAAUACAUCGGAACGUGCCCGAGAGUGGGGGAUAACGAGGCGAAAGCUUUGCUAAUACCGCAUACGAUCUCAGGAUGAAAGCAGGGGACCGCAAGGCCUUGCGCUCACGGAGCGGCCGAUGGCAGAUUAGGUAGUUGGUGGGAUAAAAGCUUACCAAGCCGACGAGCUGUAGCUGGUCUGAGAGGACGACCAGCCACACUGGGACUGAGGCACGGCCCAGACUCCGACGGGAGGCAGCAGUGGGGAAUUUUGGACAAUGGGCGCAAGCCUGAUCCGGCCAUGCCGCGUGCAGGAUGAAGGCCUUCGGGUUGUAAACUGCUUUUGUACGGAACGAAAAGACUCUGGUUAAUACCUGGGGUCCAUGACGGUACCGUAAGAAUAAGCACCGGCUAACUACGUGCCAGCCGCCGCGGUAAGAC
rnacentral:rRNA from 1 species